rnacentral:rRNA from 1 species
UACGUAGGGUGCAAGCGUUAUUCGGAUUCACUGGGCGUAAAGGGUGCGCAGGCGGCCGUGUGUGUUGGGCGUGAAAGCCCGGGGCUUAACCCCGGAAUUGCACCCAAAACUACACGGCUAGAGCAUUGGAGAGGGUAGCGGAAUUCACGGUGUAGCAGUAGAAAUGCGUAGAUAUCGUGAGGAACACCAGAAGGCGAAGGCGGCUACCUGGACAAUUGCUGACGCUCAGG